UACGUAGGGUGCAGGCGUUAAUCGGAAUUACUGGGCGUAAAGCGUGCGCAGGCGGUCUUUUUAGUCAGAUGUGAAAUCCCCGGGCUUAACCUGGGAACUGCGUUUGAAACUGGAAGGCUUGAGUGUGGCAGAGGGGGGUGGAAUUCCACGUGUAGCAGUGAAAUGCGUAGAGAUGUGGAGGAACACCGAUGGCGAAGGCAGCCCCCUGGGCUAACACUGACGCUCAUGCACGAAAGCGUGGGGAGCAAACAGG
rnacentral:rRNA from 1 species